GCAAGUCGAGCGGUAACAUUUCUAGCUUGCUAGAAGAUGACGAGCGGCGGACGGGUGAGUAAUGCUUGGGAAUAUGCCUUAUGGUGGGGGACAACAGUUGGAAACGACUGCUAAUACCGCAUAAUGUCUACGGACCAAAGGGGGGGAUCUUCGGACCUCUCGCUCAUAGAUUAGCCCAAGUGAGAUUAGCUAGUUGGUAAGGUAAUGGCUCACCAAGGCGACGAUCCCUAGCUGGUCUGAGAGGAUGAUC
rnacentral:rRNA from 1 species